rnacentral:lncRNA from 1 species
GGGAAUUAGAAUUUACCUCAAUUUCUUGAUGGUUAAACAUUGUGUUGCACCUUCCUUCCUUGCUUUUGAAUUGCUUGGAUUCUGAGGGUUUUCCAUAUAUAAUCCAACAUGUUUCCUUCAUGUGGCCUAGCCUCUUGCAAUGAUCACACCAGGGGCGAGUUUUCUUUUGUGGUUGUCGAUGGUGGUUUCCUCUUGCUCCCAUUGCAAAGCUUUCAAAGGAUUGUAUCGAGAUGGAUGUCUCCAACAUUAGUUUUCUCUUGCUUUCUUCCCUUCUCACUUCUAAGAAGACUUCCCGAAUUUUUGGAAGUGGUUUGGUUCUAAGGAUCCUUCCACGAACUUCAUCAAGAUCCUUAUUUAGUCCCAAUAUGAACUUGUAAAUCCUAUCUUUUUCGACCAAUUCCUUAUGCUUUUUUUUAUCCUUUAUACAACACCAUGCAACUUCUUCAUAUGUGUUCCGUUGUUGCCACUGUUUGUUGAGUAUGUUAAGAUACUCAGCAACAAAGGAUUCUCCUUGUCAAAGGUCAUAUAGUACGCUUUUUAUCUCAAACACAACAAAUGUAUUGUCUACAUUUGAGUAUGUCUCCUUCAUUGCAUCCCAUGUCUUUUGUAGUGUCAUAGAACGUGAAAUUUUCACCAAUUUCAUUAGUCAUAGUGUUGAGUAGCCAUGACAUCACUUGGUUGUUUUCAAGUUGCCAUUUUUUAAGGUUGGUGUCCUCUUUAUCAGGGCACUUAGAAUCUCAUGUGAUGUAGCCUUCCCUCUCAUUUCCUUGGAGGAGGAUCUUGACAGACCUUAACCAUUGAGUAUAGUUG